AAAAACCCUUGAAUGAGUAGGUGUGUCCAAACUUUUGACUGGUACUGUAUGUCUCAAUAAAAAUGUUAUUGAAAAGUUUGCCAGAAAAUUACUUUUUGGACCUCCAUGAGUAUUGUCUUGAAAAGGAUUCCUUGAAGGGUUGAUUGAGAAUUUGUCAGUAUACUGAACACAUGAAUCCCUUUAAAAAACAAAUGUCAUCCAUGGCUCACAGGAAGACAGAAGUCACAUUCUGCAAUAUCUAGAGAAAGAAAUGAGGAUGAAGAAAAGGGGGAGAGAUGGGGAGAGUUUACAUAAAAACAAUCACAUAUGUCACCUAAGGGCUAGAUUCUAUCAGAUCCGCACUAGCCGACACCCGCAUAGCAGUUGUUUUGGUGGUGAAAAAGUAAUACUGAAUUGCUACACAAAACCUAUUUGUGCUGUAGUGACUAUUGUAGGGACUGUGUAGUGAAUGUGUAGUUUAUGCACUACUCAAGAUACGCAAGUAGAGUAUGUAGUCUCUGUUUUCGUCCUGCUAGCUAAUAAUUGUGUGUGUGCUUGUAUGCAAAUGUCGGGUAUAUUGAUAUUGGUAUACUUACCCAUUCUACUUACCUCUUUUGACCUGUUGCCAAGGAGGCCCUCGACAUAAGAAGACUGGAAGCCUUUGUUGGUUAUGUGGUGGAGAAAUGUCAACAAAAAAGAGGAUCUGAAGAUACUUAAGUCAUAGCUGAAUGAAGACAAGGCCUCAAAGGGAUUAACAAGUGUAAAUAUGUAAUUAAUUUAAUAAAAAAUUACAAUUGCA